GGGUAGUAAAAGUUGUUCUUCAAACCCAAAGGUUUUGGCGGCAUUCUAACCAAAUAGAGGAGCUUGUCUUGUAAUCGAUAACCCUCGUUUUAUCUUACCUUCAUUUGUUUAACUUGUAUACCUCCGUUGUCAGAUUACUCCAAAAGGAUGUUUUCUAUAAAAUUAAUCUUUUUACUUCAGGUCAAGGUGCAGUUUAUGUGAAGGAAAUGGUGAGCUACAGUUUUUUAAAAAAAUACGGAUCUUAAAUUAUAAUUUGGGUGAAGGUGGAUUUGUUAGUAAGUUUAUUUUAGGAAAAUAAACUGAACAAGGCAAUAGAAUGUGUACAUAUCGCCCGUCACUCUCCUUUUAAGAGGAGAUAAGUCGUAACAAAGUAGACGUACUGGAAAGUGUGUCUA
rnacentral:ncRNA from 1 species